UACGAAGGGGGCUAGCGUUGUUCGGAAUUACUGGGCGUAAAGCGCGCGCAGGCGGCCUUUCAAGUCAGGGUGGAAAGCCCGGAGCUCAACUCCGGAAUUGCCUUUGAAACUGUCAGGCUCGAGUACGGGAGAGGUGAGUGGAAUUCCCAGUGUAGAGGUGAAAUUCGUAGAUAUUGGGAAGAACACCGGUGGCGAAGGCGGCUCACUGGCCCGUUUCUGACGCUCAGGCGCGACAGCGUGGGGAUCAAACAGG
rnacentral:rRNA from 1 species